CCCGCACAAGCGGUGGAGCAUGUGGUUUAAUUCGAAGCAACGCGAAGAACCUUACCAGGUCUUGACAUCCUCUGACAAUCCUAGAGAUAGGACGUCCCCUUCGGGGGCAGAGUGACAGGUGGUGCAUGGUCGUCAGCUCGUGUCGUGAGAUGUUGGGUUAAGUCCCGCAACGAGCGCAACCCUUGAUCUUAGUUGCCAGCAUUCAGUUGGGCACUCUAAGGUGACUGCCGGUGACAAACCGGAGGAAGGUGGGGAUGACGUCAAAUCAUCAUGCCCCUUAUGACCUGGGCUACACACGUGCUACAAUGGACAGAACAAAGGGCAGCGAAACCGCGAGGUUAAG
rnacentral:rRNA from 2 species